UUACGGUCAAAUCACGCUGAAAACACCGCUUCUCGUUCGAUUACCGAAGUUAAGCAUCGUAGAGCCAGGUCAGUACUUAGAUGGGGGACCGCUUGGGAACACCUGGUACUGUAAG
rnacentral:rRNA from 1 species